rnacentral:rRNA from 1 species
GACGAACGCUGGCGGCGUGCUUAACACAUGCAAGUCGAACGGAAAGGCCCUGCUUUUGUGGGGUGCUCGAGUGGCGAACGGGUGAGUAACACGUGAGUAACCUGCCCUUGACUUUGGGAUAACUUCAGGAAACUGGGGCUAAUACCGGAUAGGAGCUCCUGCUGCAUGGUGGGGGUUGGAAAGUUUCGGCGGUUGGGGAUGGACUCGCGGCUUAUCAGCUUGUUGGUGGGGUAGUGGCUUACCAAGGCUUUGACGGGUAGCCGGCCUGAGAGGGUGACCGGCGACAUUGGGACUGAGAUACGGCCCAGACUCCUACGGGGGGCAGCAGUGGGGAAUAUUGCACAAUGGGCGGAAGCCUGAUGCGGCAACGCCGCGUGCGGGAUGACGGCCUUCGGGUUGUGAACCGCUUUCGCCUGUGACGAAGCGUGAGUGACGGUAAUGGGUAAAGAAGCACCGGCUAACUACGUG